rnacentral:rRNA from 1 species
CCUACGGGUGGCAGCAGUGAGGAAUAUUGGUCAAUGGGCGCGAGCCUGAACCAGCCAAGUAGCGUGAAGGAUGACUGCCCUACGGGUUGUAAACUUCUUUUAUAAAGGAAUAAAGGGAGGCACGUGUGCCUUUUUGUAUGGACUUUAUGAAUAAGGAUCGGCUAACUCCGUGCCAGCAGCCGCGGUAAUACGGAGGAUCCGAGCGUUAUGCGGAUUUAUUGGGGUUAAAGGGAGCGUAGAUGGGUUGUUAAGUCAGUUGUGAAAGUUGGUGGCUCAACCGUAAAAUUGCAAUUGAUACUGGCAGUCUUGAGUAUAGGUGAGGUAGGCGGAAUUCGUGGUGUAGCGGUGAAAUGCUUAGAUAUCAAGAAGAACACUGAUUGCGAAGGCAGCAUACCGGCGCUUAACUGACGCUCAUGCACGAAAGCGUGGGUAUCGAACAGGAUUAGAUACCCUUGUAGUC